rnacentral:lncRNA from 1 species
AUUACUACAAUUCAGUCCAGGUAAGUUCGUAUGGUUAAAAUUUAAUAGUUGUAUAAAUUUAUGAUUUUUAUUAUGUAUAUAUUCUAUUUUUGGAAAUGAAUUAUUGUUUGAAUUAUAAUAUUGAAUUGGAUAUUCGGUUUGAAUUGAACGCGAGAUUUGAGUACAUUCGUGAUUUGGUGUAUGAUAGGGGUUUGGAGUGGAGCUGGUAUUGGAAGGAGAUAUCGGCAUUUUACUCAAGUAAACUGGGGUUCAGCAUUUGUUGCGAGCUCUCGUAUUUUACUUUCUAUUUGGCGUAAUUGGGUGGAUCAACUCUUACAAGCUCCUGUUCAGCUCUUACGAGCUUCUAUUCAGCUCUUAUGAGUUUUUGUUCACCUUUCGAGCUUCUGUUGGCGUAUUCAGGAGGACCAGCUCUUAUGAGCUUCUGUUGACGAUGUACUCUUAUCCGUAAGUCGUUCUUCGAAUGGAAAAAUCUUGGUAAGGUGAUUUAUUUAAUAAAUUUGAAAGAUACAUGUUAUUUAUAUUUGUAUUGAUUUGAAUACGGAUGUAUUUAUCGAUUGAGGUUAUGAAUGACAGGGAGUUGUCGUGGAUGAUUUUUUAUUAUUAUUUGAUUUAUUAUAGUUAGUUCGGUAAGAUUUUUGUUUAUCUCGUUGAACUUACUAAGCUCCAUUAAGCUUACUUGUGUUGUUUAAUGUCAUUGUAGAUUUUUGGAAGGUUGGACGAUCGGUUCAGCACUCAAGUCACACUAUCCAAUUUAUCUCGGUAGUUUUUGA